CUAGACUUGAGAGUAAGGUUUCAUAUCUAAGAAAUCAUUGCCUUUCCUGAUUGGCCUGCCUGAUGGAUUUUGGACUUACCUAGCCAGCCUCCACAAGCCAGCUCCCUGAUACAAGCAUUGAAAACAAUAAGUAUACAGAGAGGACAGAAGCAGAAUCUCUGGGAGCAUCACUGUGGAUGCUGCAAACUGUUGAAGAUGGCGCUUCAGAAGGGCUGCAGUACUGGACCCAUAAUAUCUGGAGAAUAAAGAGCUACCUCAUGAAUUAGCUGAAUUUGGCAACAUUUGAAGGAGUGAAGGAAUUUUAUUUGUGGAUGGAUGGAGCUAGAAUGGUGGAGCUAGAAGCUUCAAAUUUUAUAGAAAUUGCCACAGCCACCCCAACCUUCAGCAACCACCAGCAGCCCAUCAACAUUGAGGCAAGAUCUUCCACCAGCAAAAAGAUGGCGACUCGCUGAAAGCGCCAAUGAUAGUUAGCACUUUUUAGCAAUAAAGUAUUUUUAAAGUAUGUACACUUUUUAGAUAUAAUGCUAUUGCACACUUAAUAGACUGCA